GUUUGGUUUGCCAUCACUUUUUGUGACUUUUCUGACAUCUGCAAGUGUCGGAAGUGUGACCUGAAACAUUUAAGGACACUUCUGCCUGAACCAUGGGCAGAUGUUUAGACUCCAAGAUACAGAGGAGGAGGGUCUUGGAGGUUUCUUAGUAUAAGUUCCUCCCUGUGGUACUUGCAGUUCCUACAAGGGGCUGUCAGAGAAACAAGCCGGAGAAGAGCAAGACAUGGUCCUGGUGCAUGAAAGGAGCCUAAGAAAGAAGAGUGAAAGCUGCACGUGUUCUACCUCCAGAAAGCCAUAAAAGAGAAAAGAAUGUUGUACCAAACUAAGCAAAUGAAGCAUGAAAUGAAAAGCCGGUUGAGCUGGGAGGUAUAAAGAAUGGAAAGGAAGCAGCUACCACCCCUGGUAACCCCAUCAAUCCGGAGAAGCUUCGCAGAGUUACACUGUGCUCUGUCGGGAAGGAAAUGAAUUUUCCUCAUUGUACACAUUCCGAGAAAAAUGAGGCUAAGACUAUUUCAAAGGAUGUUCUACCUAAUUCGAAUGGGCUUUAAGUGCCAUCUUCACAAUAGCGCCAGAGUCUGGUGUCAGCAAACUGAACAAAUAGAGCUACAGGGAGCGAAUGGGGCUGGGUGCCUCUCCAAAACAUAUGCAGAUGAACUUGAGAUUUCAGAGGACGGUUAAUCCUACACAGCAGUCAAGUGCCUUCCCAGGGGUAUGUCUCAGAUCUCAGGGCUCCCUUCCAAACACUGGCUGCCACGUCAAACCAAAGGGGACGAGCAAUCAGACUCACCUCAAACGCCAGUUAAGAAAGCCGGCCUUACUUAAGCAAUCAAGGGCAAGUGAUCAGCCAACUCUGCUUUCUUUCCUUUCUCUUGGAUCAUUUAUAGACCUUGUGGCCGUGGCCACCACAUUGAGAAGCCCUUGGUCUCUACUUGGACUCACUAUAGCAGAGCAUCCUGGCAGGCAUCCACUGUGCCAUAUGCUUUCGGGAAGUCUGGAUGCUGAAUGUGGUGGCUGUGGGGAAUUGAGCCUUAUUGCUUCAUAAGAUUCCUGGUGGUAGAACUAUUCUGAACAAGAACACGUCCGUCCCCAUAGGUGUGCUCCAAGAAUCACAGAAUAAGAAGGGACUUCGGAGAGAGCCUCACACAGUUGGGCAAUGGGAGCCCAGAGAGGCAAGGAAGGCUCCUUGCCCAAAGUCUUGUACAUCUGAAUCUGCAACUCCUGACUAUUUUUGAGUCUUAUGCUCCAGGCUAAAACUUGUGACUUUAAGUGUGAUGUUCUCGGUGAUGAUUAAUCUAGGAUGUUUCUGUUGUUUUCUUACCGUCAAAGAAUUAACAUCAAAAGGAAAGGAAGGAAGAAAUGUAGAAGUGAAGGCAAGAAGGAAGGAAGGAGGAAAGGAAGGAAGGAAAAUAUAGGCUUUGGGUAAAAAUAAGUUUCUACUCAACACUGACAAAGGUACAGGUUUUGGACAUUGGUUUCCUAAUCUGUAAAUGAGGAAUAGUCAUCACAUCGCUGUCCUGGCUGGUUUUGUGUGUCAACUUGACACAAGCUGGAGUUAUCACAGAGAAAGGAAAGAAAAUGCCUCCAUGAGAUCUAGCUGUAAAUGGAUUAGUGAUCAAGAGUGGGAGGGCCCAGUGUGGGUGGUGCCAUCCCUGGACUGGUGGUCCUGGGUUCUACAAGAAAACAAGCUGAGCAAGCCAGGGGAAGCAAGCCAGGGGAACAUCCCUCCACGGCUCUGCAUCAGCUCCUGCUUCCUGCCCUGUGUGAGUUCCAGUCCUGACUUCCUUUGGUGACGAACAGCAAUGUGAUAGUAUAAGCUGAAUAAACCCUUUCCUCCCCAAC
rnacentral:lncRNA from 1 species